CUCCUCUACCUAGACAUGUCCACGUCCCUUGUUCAGCGGGAUUUUGUCCUGAAAGCAAACAGAGUCAAUGACAAGAAGGGCAAGGAUAGCAACAGCUGUACAAUGUCGGUGCUGAAACUGGAGAAAAGCGAUGGGGGUGUAUACUACUGCGCUGCCUGGGAACAACACAACCCUUGUACCUGGGGUAGCUGGACGGGCAUAAAAGUGUUUGGUCCUGGCACAUUGCUCAGGGUUACAGAUAAAAGUCCUGAUGAAGAUAUUUCUCCCAAGCCCACAGUUUUUCUUCCUUCAGUUGCUGAAGUAAAAGUCCAUAAGGCUGGAACAUAUCUUUGUCUUCUUGAGGAAUUUUUCCCUGAUGUUAUCAAGGUAGAUUGGCAAGAAAAGGAUGACAAAACAAUUCUGAAAUCUCAGCAGGGAGACACCAUGAAGACUAAGGACACAUACAUGAAAUUCAGCUGGCUGACCGUGAGUGGAGCGUCAAUGGAUAAAGAACACAAAUGUAUCGUCAACCACGAAAGUAAUGGAAGAAAAGUUGUUCAAGAGAAUCUUUUUCCUUCAAUAAACAAAGAGCUUGCUGCUAUUAACUCCACAAAAUCUUCUCUGAAUGAUGAAAAUGACACCCUGCAGCUGCAGCUCAUGAACACAUCUGCCUACUACACCUACCUCCUCCUCUUCCUGAAGAGCCUGGUCUACUCCAUCAUUAUCGCCGUCUCUCUGCUUGGGAGACCAGCACUCUAUAGCAAUGGGAAGAGAUCCUAACACAUGGUGGCACAAGGUUCCACUUUUUCCCAUUGGCUAUUGUCCCUAAAAGUCUCUGCUGAGGAUCAAGUGGGGUUUUCUUUCUGAGAUUGGGUUAUUUCCAUUCUCAUGUGUCUUUUUCUACUGCGUCAUUAUUGCAGAACUGAUUUACACACCACUGGGCAAACAGAAGCUUUCACUUUGCAGCUAGAACAAGUUCUGCCAUGACUCAGGGGCGGGGCCGUGGGGUUUCAGCACUGCUGUCUCCUUAAUGUCCACCAGCUCCUCAGCCACCCAGUCUCCAUGCUUCUGAGUACAGCCAGCAUGCAGUCUCUUGGACUUUUUAACAAGAUGAUUACCUGGAAACUUUUUAUUUUACAUACCUUGAAACCACUAUCCUCGCUACCUGGAACUUGUACUGCU